CGGCGGUAACCUCAUCCAACUCUCGCAUCAAUUGUCGUCGGAGUAAUGAAGUUUAAUUCAAUUUAAAACUUUCAACAACGGAUCUCUUGGUUCUGGCAUCGAUGAAGAACGCAGCGAAAUGCGAUAAGUAAUGUGAAUUGCAGAAUUCAGUGAAUCA
rnacentral:rRNA from 1 species